AUUUUUUAUCCGUUGAAACCGCACUUUUAUUUUUCCUCCUCGCCCCCUUCUCUUUUUUCCCUGCAAACUCUUAAAUUUUCCACUGAUUCCCGCAACUUUCUCGUCAACCAAACACUCACAUUUCUCCCAUCGAAUUCCCUUCCGCUACCUGCCGGUAACCGCUCAAUGUCGGGGUCCGGCACCGAUACCUCCUCCUACAACAACUCUGGCAACUCUUUGCCUCACAAGCUCACCUCAAAAACAUCAUUUCUCAAUCUAAAGCUCUACGUUCUGAUCGCAAUUAUUUCCGUAUGCGUACUUUUAGUUUUACUUCUUGUUUUCCUAUGCAUCCGCUUGAACAGGAUUUCCCGGAAACGUAACAAAGUGCUCUCUAAGCAGAGUUCCGGUUUGAUCCCGUUAGUAUCCAAAGAAAUUGUAGAAAUAAAAGCUUGGGAUCGGAAAGGAAAUGACGAGAAAGAGGAGGUCAAAACUGGAGAUGUGAAUUUGAUAAAGAAGAAGGAGAUUGAGGCUGUUGUUGAUUUGGAGAUCGGAGAAGGGAAGCCGAAGCAGAAGAAAAGUGGAGAGAGUGAUGAAGCGUCUUGCAGCACGAGUAGUGACGUGUCGUCGGUGGAGGCACAGCAGAAUAUCGGGUGGGGCCGCUGGUAUAGCUUGAAGGAGCUGGAGAUUGCGACACGUGGAUUCUCGGAGGAGAAUGUGAUCGGUGAAGGAGGAUACGGCGUUGUGUAUAGAGGAGUAUUAAAGGAUGGGUCUGUGGUGGCUGUGAAGAAUCUGCUUAACAACAAGGGUCAGGCUGAGAAGGAGUUCAGGGUAGAAGUUGAAGCCAUUGGAAAAGUAAGGCAUAAGAACUUGGUCGGUCUAAUUGGAUAUUGCGCAGAAGGUGCUCGGAGGAUGCUUGUUUAUGAAUAUGUUGACAAUGGGAAUUUAGAGCAAUGGUUACAUGGUGAUGUAGGACCUGUUAGCCCUCUAACCUGGGAUAUCCGAAUGAAGAUUGCCAUUGGGACAGCAAAAGGGCUAGCCUAUUUGCAUGAAGGUUUAGAACCUAAAGUUGUGCACCGUGAUGUAAAAUCCAGUAAUAUACUUCUGGAUAAAAAAUGGAAUCCAAAGGUCUCUGACUUUGGAUUGGCCAAGCUUCUGGGUUCUGAGUCAAGCUAUGUCACUACCCGUGUUAUGGGAACGUUCGGGUUUGUACUUUCUUGCAUUCCUAAUUCAGUUAUUCAAUACUGAGCUAUUGAAACUUGGAUGUGAAUGACAAGUAAACCUUUAAAAAUAAAUGUGAAUGACAUGUAAACCUUUAACAUUAAUUUGUUGUCAUUUUGUUCCAGAUAUGUUUCCCCUGAUUAUGCAAGUACAGGUAUGCUUAACGAAGGGAGCGAUGUGUAUAGUUUUGGAGUUCUUCUUAUGGAGAUGAUAACAGGAAGGAGCCCAAUUGAUUACUCCAGGCCAGCUGGAGAGGUGAUUAUCAAGUUUUGUUACUGUUGCAUGGAUAUUAAAGAGACAACACCAACAUAACUCUGUUUCUGUUGAAUUUAUCUUAGAUGAACUUGGUUGACUGGUUUAAAGGAAUGGUGGCUAGUCGUCGUGGAGAUGAGGUUUUAGACCCUCUAAUUGAAGUUCAGCCUUCUCCAAGAGCUUUUAAACGAACCUUGCUUGUUUGUCUUCGAUGUAUAGAUUUGGAUGCCAUUAAGCGACCAAAAAUGGGGCAAGUCGUUCAUAUGCUUGAUGCAGAUGACUUUCCUUUUCGUGCUGUAAGUCCACCUAUGCCUCUUAUAUUAUGUAUAAUUUUGAACAAUAAUGUUUGUUAUGUGCUUUCUACUAUUUUCAUGAAUGUUGCUUUGAAUUCUCCUCAUUCUGUUUGUAUUGAUUUCAUAAAUAUUUCAUAAAAAUUCAAUAGAAGUAUUAGCCAGCAAGGAUGCUCAUAUAGUUGCAAAUGAGAUUUUGCGUAUCACUGUACUUGGCAAUUGACUCCCUUAACACCUGCUCUUCUCAAAAUCAUUGUUAUAUAGCAUCAAUACUGUAUAUGUUCUGUUAAUGCAUUAGGGAAACUGGCAUAUGUCAUGCCAGUCUUAAUUUGUUGCAAUAGAAUCUACUUGAGGGUUGCCAUUCUGGAUUUUAACUACUGCAGCAACUGCAAGAAAAACCUUUUUUACUUGUUCUUUUCUUAAUAGAUGUGAAUUCAUACUUUAGAAUUUCUUACUAGUCGCUAGUUAUUUGCCACAAAUUUAGCCAUUUGUAUACUUUUGUACUCUUACUUUCAGAAGAAGUUUUUGAUGAGCCUAUUAAUCUGCUGUUAGUUGGUUCUCCUUCUUCUGUUGCAAAUUUAAAAGCUUUCUGUGCUCAAACUCGUGGAUUUUCAUUUUUAUUAAAAAAAAUAACAAAAUAAACCUCAGUUGAGAGUUUUUUUUUUGCUCCGUUGCUGCAGGAACUUAGAUCCAUUAGGGAGAAAGAUCUUCCCCCUUCUCAUGCAGCUGUGUCCAACAAAGUUCCACAUCCAACCAGGCAUGCAGGGGAGAGUGAUGUAGAAAGAUCAAAGCGAAGAUGAUUGUUGUUGGUUUGAAGAUUAGUAGUUCCUGAUUUCAAAUUAUUUUGUAGUAUAAUUUUUUAUUUGGUAUACAACUAUACAGACGUGUACUCAAUGUGUAUAUUUUACCUUCUAACCUUUUGGAUAUUCCACAUUUUGAUGAUGCAUUAGGCAUCUUAGAGUUAAAAUGAGCCUUGUAAAUAUGGAUCAUAUUUGGAUAUGUGAAAUCUCAGCUUGCUUCUCAUGAAUAUCAGAAUAUUUUAUAUUUGCACUUAAGCUAAAGCCAAAGAGCAUGUACAUUGUGAUGAAAUAUAUAGUCCUUUGUUGAUUCCA
rnacentral:misc_RNA from 1 species